AUGAGCUGUGGGUAGGGGUGAAAGGCCAAUCAAACUCCGUGAUAGCUGGUUCUCCCCGAAAUGCAUUUAGGUGCAGCGUCACGCGUUUCUUGUCGGAGGUAGAGCACUGGAUGGGCUAGGGGGCCUACAAGCUUACUGAACCCAACCAAACUCCGAAUGCCGAUAAGUAAGAGCGUGGCAGUGAGACUGUGGGGGAUAAGCUUCAUAGUCGAAAGGGAAACAGCCCAGACCACCAACUAAGGCCCCUAAGCGUGUGCUAAGUGGGAAAGGAUGUGGAGUCGCAUAGACAACCAGGAGGUUGGCUUAGAAGCAGCCACCCUUAAAAGAGUGCGUAAUAGCCCACUGGUCAAGUGAUUCCGCGCCGACAAUGUAACGGGGCUCAAGCACAUCGCCGAAGUUGUGGCAUUCACACCGAUAACCCGGCCGUAAGGUCCAGGUGUGUGGAUGGGUAGGGGAGCGUCGUGUGGCGAGCGAAGCGGCGGGGUGACCCAGCCGUGGACGCCACACGAGUGAGAAUGCAGGCAUGAGUAGCGAAAGACGGGUGAGAAACCCGUCCGCCGGAUGACCAAGGGUUCCAGGGCCAGGCUAAUCCGCCCUGGGUAAGUCGGGACCUAAGACGAGGCCGACAGGCGUAGUCGAUGGACAACGGGUUGAUAUUCCCGUACCGGUUUACACACGACCAUGACGAGCCCAGUGAUGCUAAGCCCACAAAGUCGAGGAACUCUUCGGAGGGAAUCGGUGGAGUGCGCGAACCGAACUGGUAGUAGUCAAGCAAUGGGGUGACGCAGGAAGGUAGCUCAACCGCGGCGAUGGUAGACCGCGGCCAAGGUAGUAGGGCGAGAUGUAGGUAAAUCCGCAUCUCAUACGCCUGAGAACUGAUGGGGAGCCGACUUAGGCGAAGUGAGUGAUCCUAUGCUGCCGAGAAAAGCCUCUAGCGAGUGUGCAAGCCGCCCGUACCCCAAACCGACACAGGUGGUCAGGUAGAGAAUACCAAGGCGAUCGAGUGAACUGUGGUUAAGGAACUCGGCAAAUUGCCCCCGUAACUUCGGGAGAAGGGGGGCCGCGGCUGGUGAUGGGACUUGCUCCCUGAGCUGGCUACGGCCGCAGAGACCAGGUGGAAGCGACUGUUUACUAAAAACACAGGUCCAUGCAAAGUCGCAAGACGACGUAUAUGGACUGACGCCUGCCCGGUGCUGGAACGUUAAGGGGACCAGUCAGUUCUUCGGAGCGAAGCUGAGAACUUAAGCGCCAGUAAACGGCGGUGGUAACUAUAACCAUCCUAAGGUAGCGAAAUUCCUUGUCGGGUAAGUUCCGACCUGCACGAAUGGCGUAACGACUUCCACGCUGUCUCAACCGCAGACUCGGCGAAAUUGCACUACGAGUAAAGAUGCUCGUUACGCGUGGCAGGACGGAAAGACCCCGGGACCUUUACUACAGCUUGGUAUUGGUGGUCGGUUCGAUUUGUGUAGCAUAGGUGGGAGACUUGGAAGCCCGGACGCCAGUUCGGGUGGAGUCAUCGUUGAAAUACCACUCUGAUCGUAUUGGCUGUCUAACCUCGAUCCGUGAUCCGGAUUAGGGACAGUGCCUGGUGGGUAGUUUAACUGGGGCGGUUGCCUCCCAAAAAGUAACGGAGGCGCUCAAAGGUUCCCUCAGCCUGGUUGGCAAUCAGGUAUCGAGUGUAAGUGCACAAGGGAGCUUGACUGUGAGACUGACAGGUCGAGCAGGGACGAAAGUCGGAACUAGUGAUCCGGCGCCGGCAUGUGGAAGCGGCGUCGCUCAACGGAUAAAAGGUACCCCGGGGAUAACAGGCUGAUCUUGCCCAAGAGUCCAUCUCGACGGCAUGGUUUGGCACCUCGAUGUCGGCUCGUCGCAUCCUGGGGCUGGAGUCGGUCCCAAGGGUUGGGCUGUUCGCCCAUUAAAGCGGCACGCGAGCUGGGUUUAGAACGUCGUGAGACAGUUCGGUCCCUAUCCGCCACGCGCGUAAGAGUCUUGAGGAGAUCUGUCCCUAGUACGAGAGGACCGGGACGGACGAACCUCUGGUGUGCCAGUUGUCCUGCCAAGGGCACGGCUGGUUAGCUACGUUCGGAAGGGAUAACCGCUGAAAGCAUCUAAGCGGGAAGCCCACUCCAAGAUAAGGGCUCUCACUGGUUUACCAGGUAAGGACCCCAGCUAGACGACUGGGUUGAUAGGCCGGAUGUGGAAGCACAGCAAUGUGUGGAGCUGACCGGUACUAAUAGUCCGAGGACUUGCUUAC
rnacentral:rRNA from 1 species